rnacentral:rRNA from 1 species
GAUGAACGCUGGCGGCGUGCCUAAUACAUGCAAGUCGAGCGAACGGACGAGAAGCUUGCUUUUCUGAUGUUAGCGGCGGACGGGUGAAUAACACGUGGAUAACCUACCUAUAAGACUGGGAUAACUUCGGGAAACCGGAGCUAAUACCGGAUAAUAUUUUGAACCGCAUGGUUCAAAAGUGAAAGACGGUCUUGCUGUCACUUAUAGAUGGAUCCGCGCUGCAUUAGCUAGUUGGUAAGGUAACGGCUUACCAAGGCAACGAUGCAUAGCCGACCUGAGAGGGUGAUCGGCCACACUGGAACUGAGACACGGUCCAGACUCCUACGGGAGGCAGCAGUAGGGAAUCUUCCGCAAUGGGCGAAAGCCUGACGGAGCAACGCCGCGUGAGUGAUGAUGGUCUUCGGAUCGUAAAACUCUGUUAUUAGGGAAGAACAUAUGUGUAAGUAACUGUGCACAUCUUGACGGUACCUAAUCAGAAAGCCACGGCUAACUACGUG